UACAGAGGUGCUCGAGCGUUGAGGCGGAAGUCACUGGGCUUAAAGCGUGUGUAGGCGGGCCGUUAAGUGCCUUGGUGAAAUCCCCCCGGCUCAACCGGGGAACGGGCUGGGCAUACGUGGCGCCUUGAGUCAGCUCGAGGGGUCAGCGGAACAAACGGUGGAGCGGUGAAAUGCGUAGAUAUCGUUUGGAACGCCGACGGCGAAAGCAGCUGACUGGGAGUGAUCUGACGCUGAGACACGAAAGCCAGGGGAGCGAACGGG
rnacentral:rRNA from 1 species